CCUACGGGUGGCUGCAGUGGGGAAUAUUGCACAAUGGGGGAAACCCUGAUGCAGCAACGCCGCGGGAGUGAAGAAGAAUUGCGGGAUGGAAAGCUCUAACAGCAGGGAAGAAGAUGACGGUACCUGAAUAAGAAGCCACGGCUAACUACGGGCCAGCAGCCGCGGUAAUCCGGAGGGGGCAAGAGUUAUCCGGAUUUACUGGGGGUAAAGGGAGCGGAGACGGCAGUGCAAGUCUGGAGUGAAAGCCCGGGGCCCAACCCCGGAACUGCUCUGGAAACUGUGCGGCUAGAGUACUGGAGGGGCAGGCGUAAUUCCUAGUGUAGCGGUUAAAUGCGUAGAUAUUAGGAGGCACACCAGUGGCGAAGGCGGCCUGCUGGACAGUAACUGACGUUGAGGCUCGAAAGCGUGGGGAGCAAACAGGAUUAGAUACCCUGGUAGUC
rnacentral:rRNA from 1 species